GACGAACGCUGGCGGCGUGCUUAACACAUGCAAGUCGAACGGAAAGGCCCUGCUUUUGUGGGGUGCUCGAGUGGCGAACGGGUGAGUAACACGUGAGUAACCUGCCCUUGACUUUGGGAUAACUUCAGGAAACUGGGGCUAAUACCGGAUAGGAGCUCCUGCUGCAUGGGGGGGGUUGGAAAGUUUCGGCGGAUGGGGCUAGACGCGCGGCUGAACAGCUUGUGGGUGGGGUAGUGGCUUACCAAGGCUUUGACGGGUAGCCGGCCUGAGAGAGUGGCCAGGCUCAAUGGUCCUACGGUACGGCCCAGUCGCGAACGUGAGACAACGGUGGGGAGUAUUGCACAAUGGGCGGGAGCCUGAUGAGGCAAUGUCGCGUGCGUGAUGACGUCCUUCGGGUUGUAAACCGCUUUCGCCUGUUACGUAGCUUGAUUGACGGUAAUGGGUAAAUAAGCACCGGCUAACUACGUG
rnacentral:rRNA from 1 species